AGAGUUUGAUCAUGGCUCAGAUUGAACGCUGGCGGCAAGCCUAACACAUGCAAGUCGAGCGGCAUCGAAAGAAAAUAUUUUUUUUUCUUGUCGGCGAGCGGCAAACGGGUGAGUAAUAUCUGGGGAUCUGCCCAAAAGAGGGGGAUAACUACUAGAAAUGGUAGCUAAUACCGCAUAAUGUUGAAAAACCAAAGUGGGGGACCUUUAUGGCCUCAUGUUUUUGGAUGAACCCAGA
rnacentral:rRNA from 1 species